rnacentral:rRNA from 1 species
UACGUAGGGUGCAAGCGUUGUCCGGAAUUAUUGGGCGUAAAGAGCUCGUAGGCGGUCUGUCGCGUCUGCUGUGAAAACUCAGGGCUUAACCCUGAGCUUGCAGUGGGUACGGGGCAGACUAGAGUGCGGUAGGGGGAGACUGGAAUUCCUGGUGUAGCGGUGAAAAUGCGCAGAUAUCAGGAGGGAACACCGGUGGGCGAAAGGCG